GUGAGAUUUGAAGAGAGAGGGGAGCUUCUAACCUAGGAGGGACCUCACCCCACAGCCAAACUCUGGUCCCUAAGGAGACCCCAGGGGCUCACAAAGAUCCCAGGGAGGGGAGGACCUGCUCAGGCUUCAGGGGGCAAAUCCCUCACAGGGAACUCUCUUCCAGGGCUGAGUCUGGGCCCCAGGACCCGCGUGCAGACAGGACCAUCCCCAAGCCCACCCUGUGGGCUGAGCCAGACUCUGUGAUCACCCAGGGGAGUCCCGUCACCCUCAGUUGUCAGGGGAGCCUUGAAGCCCAGGAGUACCGUCUAUAUAGGGAGAAAAAAUCAGCAUCUUGGAUUACACGGAUACGACCAGAGCUUGUGAAGAACGGCCAGUUCCACAUCCCAUCCAUCACCUGGGAACACACAGGGCGAUAUGGCUGUC
rnacentral:lncRNA from 1 species